CCAUACCUGGCCUGCAGUACCGUACUACGAGGAGGUCGGGGCGGUGGUGGUCUCUGUGGGUUAUCAGUUUAUCGAGCUGGCCGACAUCGAGGUGCUGCCAGGUGAUGUGUUCGCUGUGGAGGGACCCGUUGGCAGGAGGUUGUAUGAGGGACCAGGGGGAGACCAGGUAGACGGGGUCCUCACCAGCCACCACUACUACAUCUCUGUGGUGGUGAGAGAGAAGGUGUACUUCAACCUCUUCCACACCUGUACAGAGAUACUUGUCGACACCGAGCUGCAGGUGGCUGACCAGUACCCAGUCUCAAGCGUCCAAGCCUCUGACCAGACAGCGUGUGAGAGGAACAUAACAGACGUGGCUGUGAGCGCCCCAGCCAGUAACAGACACCUUUAACAGCAACCUUAACCUUCGCUCUCCCUUCUAUGUCAGGUCAGACUACAGCUUCACCUAUACCGUCACCUUCACUGUGGCUGGACCCAUCACCGUCAACUUCACCUAUUCACCUGAUUUUGGCCAGUUUGACACCUUGGUGGAUAC